rnacentral:rRNA from 1 species
UACGUAGGGUGCAAGCGUUAAUCGGAAUUACUGGGCGUAAAGCGUGCGCAGGCGGUGAUGUAAGUCUGACGUGAAAUCCCCGGGCUCAACCUGGGAAUUGCGUUGGAGACUGCAAGGCUGGAGUCUGGCAGAGGGGGGUAGAAUUCCACGUGUAGCAGUGAAAUGCGUAGAGAUGUGGAGGAACACCGAUGGCGAAGGCAGCCCCCUGGGUCAAGACUGACGCUCAUGCACGAAAGCGUGGGGAGCAAACAGG